UCAGCCUGUUGACCUCCUCCUGCUGCCGCUUCAUAAUCACCUGCUUCUCCUCCAAAAGCAUCGUGUGCCUCUCCUCCAACAGCUCCUGCUCAAACUUUUUAAUGGAUUCCUAGAGAGGGGGAGGAUGGAGGUGCAGCCUCACCUCAGUGUAGAAGAUCAUCACACCCACGAACAUGCUGAGGAAGAUGAAGGAGGCAAGCAAGAUGAAGACGAUGGUGAAUGCCCGGCUGAGGGCCAAGUUCUGAUUAUCCAACUGCUCCUGUAGGUCUGUCCAGCCAUCAACCUGCUCAGGCAAGGGAGGGCAUGCCAAGUGCCAAGGCCCAAUGGGGCAGGCCUCCCUCUCACCUACCCUAGGGGAGCCCCCAGCCCCACUGAGAAUACAUCUGGCUCUGCCUCCACAUCAGCCUCCCCCCACCAGCCCCCAUCCAUGACUCUAGCCCACAGAGGGUGACUGGGGACGCAAGUAUAAUGUGCCACUAGGUACAGAAACUACUGGCCAAGGUGCCCAAAGGCACACUAUCUUUCCAAAAAGGACACUGCAUCUCUGCAAAGCCCUCCUUUGGAAAGGACCCAGAGUCUACACUUCUAGACUUGGGCUUUCAGGCUGAUUCUGACUGGAUUUGUGACAGCCUAGUCCCAGAAAGCCUAUGUAACAUGGGCAUCAUUUCUAAAGUAAACUUAAACCAAAUGA